ACCAAUAUUCAUUCUCUUCAUCGCCUCCAAAUUUCCCCAACCCCACUCUUCUCUUCAUAUAUACUCCACUGUCGUCCGGGCUCUGCCUAACAGUGACUUGUUAAUAGCUUUCAUUCUUCAUGGGGUAUUGCCUGCGAGAAAUAGAAGGAAAGCAAGCCAAUGAUCCGUUGUUCAUUGAGAAAAUGAACGAAAACAAAUUGUCUUAUCGUGGGCGAAGCGUGUGGGUACCAGGUCCGGUGAUCGUUGGGGCAGGGCCUUCUGGUCUCGCAACCGCAGCUUGUCUGAGACAGAGAGGAGUGCCGAGUUUGAUUCUAGAAAGAUCCGACUGCAUAGCUUCUCUGUGGCAACACAAAACCUACGAUCGCCUUCGUCUUCAUUUGCCCAAGCAGUUCUGCGAGCUUCCAUUGAUGGGUUUUCCCAGUAAUUUCCCGACGUACCCGACGAAGCAGCAGUUCAUACAGUACUUGCUGAGCUAUGCGGAGAGGUUCGACAUCAGGCCGAGGUUCAACGAAACGGUGAGGCAGGCGCAAUUCGACGCCACGCUUGGGGUCUGGCUUGUGAAAACCGUGGACAAGGAGGAGAGGACGACGGAGUACUUGUGCCGGUGGCUGAUCGUGGCGACGGGAGAGAAUGCGGAGGCGGUUGUGCCGGAGAUAGAAGGAAUGGGGGAAUUCGGAGGGGAUAUAAGGCACACGAGCUUGUACAAGAGCGGCGAGGAGUUCAGAGGGAAGAGAGUGUUGGUGGUGGGAUGCGGGAAUUCCGGCAUGGAAGUGUGCUUGGACCUCUGCAAUUAUAAUGCUGCUCCUUCUCUUGUGGUCAAAGAUACAGUGCACAUAUUGCCGAGGGAGCUGCUGGGAAAAUCGACGUUUGGAUUAUCGAUGUGGUUGCUGAAGUGGGUGCCCAUGAGGAUGGUGGACGCGUUUCUACUGAUAGUCUCGUGGUUGAUGCUCGGCGACACCUCUCGCUUCGGACUGAAACGCCCCUCCGUGGGUCCCCUUCGCCUCAAAAACCUUUCCGGCAAGACACCCGUCCUCGACGUCGGCACUCUCUCCUUCAUUAAAUCCGGCCACAUUCUGGUGCGUCCAGGCAUGAAGCGGCUAAAACGACACGCCGUGGAAUUUGUUGACGGCAGGACGGAGAAUUUUGACGCCAUCAUACUCGCAACCGGUUACAAAAGUAACGUGCCCUCCUGGCUGAAGGAAGGAGACAUGUUCAGCGAGGAAGAUGGAUUUCCGAGGAGGCCAUUCCCAAAUGGCUGGAGAGGCGAAAAGGGAUUAUACGCGGUGGGAUUCACGAAACGAGGAUUGCUGGGGGCAUCCAUGGAUGCCAAGAGAAUAUCUCUAGACAUAGAGCGUUGCUGGAAAGCCGAGACAAAGCAUCCUCGUCACUUUUGGCACUACCCGAUUCAUGAUUCACAGUGACACCACUUAAAGUUGGAUUGUACAUGACUCAUCCAUAUCUGGUCAUGGGAGGUUUUCUGUGGUGGCAUCACACAUGGGCUCAUCUUUCCACGCCUGUACGUUCCACAUUGUUGCUCCUCCAUUCAUAAAAGUGAGAAAGGGGCGCGAGAAAGAUUCUCCCAACCAUACAUGGAGCCCCUCCUCAGCUUUCACCGGUCACCAGCCACCACGCUCUCGCUGGCCGAGAGACGAGGACGCAUUAUUGAUUUUUUAUUAUGACAAAGCUUACUUGAGCUGGUGAGGGAGGACCCUCGCUCGCUAGCUAGCUGGCUAGCUGCUUAUAUCUGUAAAUCUUCUACAUUGCUGAUGAACGAUCAAUUUACAGAGGAUUUGAAGUAGAGUGGCAGCCAGAGAGGGAUGGGAUGUGAUUGACAAGCCUAUGGGAAGAAGGCGGAGACUAGUAGACGGAGAGGAAAACUGUUUCUCAACUCGGAAUGGCGUGGCAGUGUGGUGGCUAGAUAAUGAUGAUCAUGUACCCUGGGGGAGAUGGUGGAGGUCCUCAUGUACAGAUUGGAUUACCAGUUUCAUGCAAUUUCGAUGUCGAAAUGAUUACACAUUGCAAAAAAAUACUAGCAAGGGCCACCAUCACUUGAUUUUCCUGCGAAAACCCUAACAUUUCAAAGCUGCAAUUACCCGUUUUCCCUUGUACCAACUUGGUUGAUUGAACUCGGGUAAUAGCAGCAACCAUUGCUUUUAACUGCUCAAAGUGAGAACUUUUGCGAUGCUUUAUGAGGGAGGGGGAACCCCACAAAGUGCAAGUUGAGGCAAAAUGACAUCUGAUUAAGCUCUGCCC